rnacentral:sRNA from 1 species
UGCAAAAAAAUAGACUGGAUCUUUUGAU